AGACGGAGGGCGCAAGCGUUGUUCGGAAUUACUGGGCGUAAAGGGCAGGUAGGUGGUCUGUUAAGUCUUCUGUGAAAAUCCGGGGCUCAACCCCGCGAAAUGCAGGUGAAACUGGCAGACUCGAGACCGGUAGAGGCUAGCGGAAUUCCUGGUGUAGCGGUGGAAUGCGUAGAUAUCAGGAAGAACACCUGUGGCGAAGGCGGCUAGCUGGGCCGGUUCUGACACUGAACUGCGAAAGCGUGGGGAGCAAACAGGAUUAGAAACCCCAGUAGUCC
rnacentral:rRNA from 1 species